rnacentral:rRNA from 1 species
AUUGAACGCUGGCGGCAUGCCUUACACAUGCAAGUCGAACGGCAGCACGGGAGCAAUCCUGGUGGCGAGUGGCGAACGGGUGAGUAAAGUAUCGGAACGUGCCCAGUCGUGGGGGAUAACGUAGCGAAAGUUACGCUAAUACCGCAUACGAGCUAUGGAUGAAAGCGGGGGAUCUCAAGACCUCGCGCGAUUGGAGCGGACGAGAUCAGAUCAGGUAGUGGGUGGGAUACAGGCGCACCAAGCCGACGAUCUGUGGCUGGUCUGAGAGCACGACCAGCCACACUGAGACUGAGACACGGCCAAGACUCCUACGGGAGGCAGCAGUGGGGAAUUUUGGACAAUGGGCGAAAGCCUGAUCCUGCCAUGCCGCGUGCAGGAUGAAGGCCUUCGGGUUGUAAACUGCUUUUGUACGGAACGAAAAGGUUUGGGCUAAUAAGCUGAGCUCAUGACGGUACCGUAAGAAUAAGCACCGGCUAACUACGUGCCAGCAGCCGCCGCCG